rnacentral:rRNA from 1 species
AUUGAACGCUGGCGGCAUGCCUUACACAUGCAAGUCGAACGGUAACAGGCCGCAAGGUGCUGACGAGUGGCGAACGGGUGAGUAAUGCAUCGGAACGUGCCCAGUUGUGGGGGAUAACUGCUCGAAAGAGCAGCUAAUACCGCAUACGACCUGAGGGUGAAAGCGGGGGAUCGCAAGACCUCGCGCAAUUGGAGCGGCCGAUGUCAGAUUAGGUAGUUGGUGGGGUAAAGGCCUACCAAGCCGACGAUCUGUAGUUGGUCGGAGAGGACGACCAGCCACACUGGGACUGAGACACGGCCCAGACUCCUACGGGAGGCAGCAGUGGGGAAUUUUGGACAAUGGGCGCAAGCCUGAUCCAGCAAUGCCGCGUGCAGGAAGAAGGCCUUCGGGUUGUAAACUGCUUUUGUCAGGGAAGAAAUCCUCUGGGUUAAUACCCCGGGGGGAUGACGGUACCUGAAGAAUAAGCACCGGCUAACUACGUGCCAGCCGCCGCAGUAAGAC